rnacentral:lncRNA from 10 species
GUUCUUCUCCUUGACCUCAAGAUGCACUCUUUUCUAGAGCCGGUUGCCCUUUCUCAGGUUGUCGGGUAAUCAGCCUCCCAUCAGCCACUGUCUUCUCUGCUCUGUGGACAUGCCUAGCUUUUUCUCACUCCUUAAUUUUUGCAUAUGUCAUGCUCUCUGCUUGAAACGUCCUGUUGUUCAUGAAGGUCCUGACAGACACACCUUAGGAAAGUGGCCCCACCGGUUUCCCCAGCCUGGAGUGCUGUUAUGAAAGCCACCAGGGAGGCGGAGCCAGCAGGUCCUCAGCUACCGGGGAGGGCAGGGAUCCCGCUUCCUGAGAAGGCUGCUGAAGACUCUGCUCCAAGCUAAACGAAUCACUGUCUCCCCAUGGUGACGCAGAAAUGCAGGACAGUCAGAGCGAAGACCGGGCCCUCCGCAUCUGGGAGUUGUGCUAAGUGAUGCUGCGCACCUUCGCAGGAUGCUUACGAAGCCAGAAGGGUAUCCCAGAGCCUGGGACUAGGGCUGUGAAAGAGCACAUUCCUCUUCUACCUCAGGCUCCCUAUAUUCUUAGCAAAACUUGUCAUCUUUUGCUCACGGAGGUAAAAUAGCACAGAGAUUAGGAGAAUGGACUCCCAAGCUAGAUUUCUUGAGGUUGAAUGCCAGCUCUACUGUAGGGUCUAGCCCUACGGGGCUUGGCGGGUGUUUUCCCCGUGUGCGGAGAUGAGAGAUUGUAACAAAUAAAGACACAAGCCAAAGAGAUAGAAGAAAAGACGCUGGGCCCUGGGAACCACUACCAUCAAGACGCGGAGACCGGUAGUGGCCCCGAACGGCUGGUUGCGCUGAUAUUUAUUGCAUACAAGACAAGGGGGCAGGGUAAGGAGGGUGAAUCUUCUAAGUGAUUGACAAGGUGCAGCAAGUCACGUGAUCACAGGACGGGAGGGCCCUUCCCUUUUAGGUAGCCGAAGUAGAGACAGAAGGCAGCAUACGUCAGCGUUUUCUUCUAUGCACUGAUAAGAAAGAUCAAAGACUUUAGACUUUCACUAUUUCAUCUACCGCUCUGUACUACGAACUUCAAAGAGGAACCAGGAGUACGGGAGGAACAUGAAAGUGGACAAGGAGCGUGAGCAUUGAAGCACAGCCCCACAGGGAGGGGUUUAGGCCUCCGGAUGACUGCGGGGAGGCCUGGAUAAUAUCCAGCCUUCCACAAGAAGCUGCUGGAGCAGAGUGUUCCCUGACUCCUCCAAGGAAAGGACACUCCUUUUCGCGAUCUGCUAAGUGAUGGGUGUCUUCCCAGGCACUAGCGUUACCGCUUGACCAAGGAGCCCUCAAGCGGCCCUUAUGCGAGCGUGACAGAAGGUUCACCUCUUGCCUUCUAGGUCACUUCUCACAAUGUCCCUUCAUCACCUGACCCUAUACCUGCCGGUUAUUCGUAGGUUAUAUUAGUAAUGCAACAAAAAGUAAUAUUAAAAGCUAAUGAUUAAUAAUGUCUAUAAUAAUGAUUGAUAAUUGUCCAUGAUCAUCUCUAUAUCUCAUUUGUAUUAUGACUAUUUUUAUUCUAUUUUCUUUAUUACACUGAAACAGUUUGUGCCUUCAGUCUCUUGCCUCGGCAUCUACGUAAUCUUUCGCCCACACUCUACCACUUAGUAACUAUAUGAUUAUGAGCAAGUGUGACUCAACCUCUCUGUGCCUCGGUUUCCUCAUCUCUACAAUGGGGGUAAUAACAGUAGCUACCUGAUGGGUUGUUAUAAGAAUUAAAUGAGUCACUGUGAAUACACAUAUAAGUAAGGAACUUAGAACAGUGCCAAAGUAUACGUGUUAGAGCUCAUUGCCGCUAUUUUCUUUCUUUUUUUUUUUUUUUCUUUUUUUUUUGAGACAGAGUCUUGCUCUAUUGCCCAGGCUGGAGUGCAGUGGUACAAUCUAGGUUCACCACAACCUCUGCCUCCCAGGUUCAAGUGAAUUCUCCAGCCUCAGCCUCCCAGGUAGCUGAGAUUACAGGUGCCCGCCACCACACUCAGCUAAUUUUUUUGUAUUUUUAUUAGAGACGGGGUUUCACCAUAUUUGCCAGGCUGGUUUUGAUCUCCUGACCUUAAGUAAUCCACCUACCUCAGCCUCCCUUAGUGCUGGGAUUACAGGUGUGAGCCACCGC